AACGUUGUUCGGAUUUACUGGGCGUAAAGCGCACGUAGGCGGAUCGUUAAGUCGGGGGUGAAAUCCUGGAGCUCAACUCCAGAACUGCCUUUGAUACUGGCGAUCUUGAGUCCGGGAGAGGUGAGUGGAACUGCGAGUGUAG
rnacentral:rRNA from 1 species